GAUGUAUGCUGCCAGCUACACCUGCACUUCAUCUAACCUUCAGGCUACUGAUCAGAAGGAUGAGGGUCUCACAUUUUGUGGUUCUUCUGCUGCUUCUGGUCAGAGAAGCAGCAAACCAGAUAGAAAACAGCACAACUACUCCAGAGCCAGCGACUACUGUAAGCAUCACAGACAGCAGCAUUGCAACUACACAGACUUCAGAUAAUGUGGUAAACAUCACAGACAGCAGCACCACAACUACACAGACAACUUCAGUGACUUCUGUAAGCAUCACAGAGAGCAGGAACGCAACUAUACAUACAACUACAGAGACUGUGACUUCUGUAAACACCACAGAGAGCAGCAGCGCAACUCCACAGACAACUGCAGGAACUGUGACUUCUGUAAACACCACAGAGAGCAGCAACGCAACUACACCGACAACUGCAGGAACUGUGACUUCUGUAAACACCACAGAGACCAGCAAUGCAACUACACCGACAACUGCAGGAACUGUGAUUUCUGUAAACACCACAGAGACCAGCAAUGCAACUAUACAGACAACUGCAGGAACUGUGACUUCUGUAAACACCACAGAGACCAGCAACGCAACUAUACAGACAACUGCAGGAACUGUGAUUUCUGUAAACACCACAGAGAGCAGCAACGCAACUACACCGACAACUGCAGGAAAUGUGACUUCCGUAAACACCACAGAGAGCAGCAACGCAACUAUACAGACAACUGCAGAAACUGUGACUUCUGUAAACACCACAGCGAGGAGCAACGCAACUACACCAACAACUGCAGGAACUGUGAUUUCUGUAAACACCACAGAGAGCAGCAACGCAACUACACCAACAACUGCAGGAACUGUGACUUCUGUAAACACCACAGAGACCAGCAACGCAACUACACCGACAACUGCAGGAACUGUGACUUCUGUAAACACCACAGAGACCAGCAACGCAACUACACCAACAACUGCAGGAACUGUGACGUCUGUAAACAUCACAGAGAGCAGCAACGCUACUACACCGACAACUGCAGGAACUGUGACUUCUGUAAACACCACAGAGAGCAGCAACGCAACUACACCAACAACUGCAGGAACUGUGAUUACACCAAACAUCACCUUCAGCACUGUACCAGCAUCUACAGAAUCAACCAUGCCUCCUUCAACAGUUGAAUUUUCAAGUACAUUACCAACUCCUCCAGUAAACACCAGCACUCCAUCAACAUCUUCCCCAUCAACCAUGGGUAGUACAACAGGCUCACCUACGACAUCAGGUUUUCCAAGUACAACAAGAAUUACAACUGCACCAACCAGCACUCCACCAAUACCUUUCCCAUGGAACAUGAACAGUACAACAAGCCCACCUACGACAUUAGCACCUACAACUACACCUGUCACCACUCCACUCACCAGCACUCCACCAACUCCUUCCCCAACAACUAUGAGUACUAAAACAACUCCAACUAGUGGGAAUAAUGUGACUUACUUAAUACGAGUGCGUAUCGUCUCUGGAGCUGGAAAAGAUCUGGCACUUCAGGCCCUUCAGAAUUUUGUUGCAUCACAGAAUUUGAAUUCAUUGUGUGGAAGCUGUGCAUUGAGCAUACAAAUCCAGUGAAAAACAUCACCAUCUGAGCACGCCAUCGUCAAACCUCACAAACGGUCAACAUGCUCAUUUUCUCCUGGUGUUGGCUUCAUAUUAGCAUGGGUAAUAAUUUUAGAGUGCAAUUGUGGGUACAUUGUGUAGGUUACAGUGUUCUUUGAUUAUGGAACAAGAAUGAGUGUUUAAGGUGUUAAUAAUUGUUUAAGAUUACGAAGUUAACUGUUUAAGUUCAUUGUUCUUCAAAAUGUUCUGAGGUUUACCUUAAGAUUUACAGCUACUGUAUGUAUAGUGGACUGUUUCCAUCACUAGUAAAAAGCAAUAUAGUACAUCGCAAUAAUAAGAAAGUUUCUCAGAAUUAUAAUAAUAAGACAAUUUUCUCAUCAUUAUGAGAUCCAAUGCCUUUAUUCUGAUAUACUAAAUCCUAAUUAUGAGAUGCUGAGUUACUGUUAUACAAUAAGUCAUAAUUUAGACAUAUUAAGUAGUAAUUAUGCAACAUAAUUUAUUGGGAUAGCAAGUCAUGAGGUGCUAAGUCAUAAACAUGAGAUACUAAUUCAUAAUUAUUGAAAACCUUCUUAUUAUUUAUGAUUUAUCAUUUAGUACAUGGCUAUUUUCUUCUUUUCCAGCGGUGUAAAUGGGCCUCCAUUUGAAUUUAAAUAACUUUGCAAUACUUCUAUCAAGCUAAGUGAAUUUUGCUGUUUAUUUUUUCCUGUACAUAAAAAGUUUGAUGUUCUAAAGAGAAAAGAACGCUUUGAAUUGAGGGGCAUAUUUACUAAUAAAAGGAUUUUUUUAAAUAAUAAAAAAAGGAUUUUUUUUUAACAGUGCAAAAUCUCAAACAUUUGUUACAAGACCGCGUGUUUCAUCAAGCAUCCCUGACAAAGCAGCCUCUUUUAUAUAAAGGGAAUACAGAUACAAUACAUUCUAUAACAUACCAACUCACAGUAUGCAAGCUUAUACAUUUACAUUUAGGGCAUUUGGCUGACGCUCUUAUCCAGAGCAACUUAUAGUUUGAUCAUUUUACACAGGUAGGCGAAGGUGGAGUUAGGAGUCUUGCCCAAGGACUCUUAUUUGUGUAGUGUAGGGUGCUGCCUAGGUGGGGAUUGAACCCCAGUCUACAGUGUAGAAAGCAGAGGUGUUACCCACUAUACUAUCCCAACCACACUUAUAGUAAAAUAUGUUCUUACAUGGGCCUUUACAGUGCAUACAUUACAUAUUGUAAAUACAGAAUCUUACACGUCUUCUGAAACAUCCAGACAUCGUCUGCAGUUAGAAAGAGGUAGUUAGUUAAAGAGGUCAGCAGAGCUCAUAUUACUUGUACAUACAACCCCAAAUCAUAAAAGGUUGGGACAGUAUGAAAACAAUAUUUCAUUGUUAGUUACGUACAAAUAUACAUCCUUCCAAAACAAUUGAGGGUAAUUUAGGUCUAGUAUAAUUAAACGUGAUGUGAUUUGAAACAGGUGAUGCCAACAGGUGACUGUAAUCACGAUUUCCUACAAAACCAACAUCCAGGAAAGGCCUUGUCCUUGAGGAGCACAGAGGAGCCAAAAUCACUAGUUUGUCAACAUAUGUGUUAGAAAUGUAUUUAAAUGUUUAAAAUCAAUGGUCCUCAUAGAAGGAUUUGAAGGGGAUUUGGAUAUUUCACCCUCUAUACUGCGUAACAUAAUUAAAAGAUUUAAGGAAUCUGAAGGAAUUUCAAUGUGUAAAGGGCAAGGGGGCAAGCAAUGGAUAUUUCACCCUAAAACGGUUUAUCACUUGGGGUCUUCGGUCCACAAACAUGUGUUGUAAAAAGGAAUGACAACAAUGCAAAGAGGUAAAGGCUUUACAGUCCCUACUUUUUUAAAUGUGUUGCAAGAAACAUAAAGUAAGACAUCGAAUAAUGUUCUGUUGUAUUGUUGUCACUGUAAUACAGGACAAAAAUAAUUUGCAAAUCACUGUUUUCAGUUUACAUUUUAAUAUAUUGUUGCAACUUUUUCUGAUUUGAAGUUGUAUCAACCAUUUUAGAUGCAUUUACUAAAUGGUAAAGAAUAGUAAAGUGACUACUGGAAGUGAAUAUGUUGUGUUUGACUCUGUUCAUUUGACUCUGUUCAUUGUAUGCAUUGCUAAAUACAAUGGGCCUCAUGUCUGUAAAAACAAAGAAAGGAUAAAGUUAGUUCAAAUAGUUAAAGAAAGGAUGACAUUAAUAUAGUCUGACGUACGGUAUUUAUGGUGAAAUUUAAAGUAAGCACCGCAAAACUUUUAAUCAGUGUGACUAUGUAAUCACAUUUAUCACUGUAUCGAUAUCAAACUCCAUAUUAAAAUGAAAAACAUACCUG
ensembl:lncRNA